GAAAUCACGUCUGGUUAAGAUCUAACCAACCACCAGUAGCGAGUUUUGUGCUUAUGACAGUAAUGUUAUGAGUAAAGUGUAGACAGCAAGGAAACUUCACAUAAUAAAAUUAUAAAAAGUACU
rfam:Clostridium sp. CAG:356 genomic scaffold, scf21